UAACGCCAUUUACAGAGCUCUUCUUGGCUCUAAUGCCGGAUUGUAUGACCCUUUUGGUGACCCAAAGGCUAUUGGUGAUCCUUAUUCUACUCUCUUUGUUGGCCAUUUGUCUCACUUGACCACUGAACACACUCUUCAAAAGGAAAUGAACAAGUAUGGAAAGGUGAAGAACUUAAGAAUUGUUAGACACAUUGUAACAGGUGCUUCACGCGGUUAUGCAUUUGUGGA
rnacentral:misc_RNA from 1 species